GAUGAAGAACGCAGCGAAAUGCGAUAAGUAAUGUGAAUUGCAGAAUUCAGUGAAUCAUCGAAUCUUUGAACGCACAUUGCGCCCCUUGGUAUUCCGAGGGGCAUGCCUGUUCGAGCGUCAUUUGUACCUUCAAGCUCUGCUUGGUGUUGGGUGUUUGUCCUUGCUCUAGUGGCGGGACUCGCCUUAAAGUAAUUGGCAGCCAGUGUUUUGGUUUUGAAGCGCAGCACAAGUCGCGAUUCAAGUCUAUACGCUAGUUUCCACAAGUCUUUUAUCACUUUUGACCUCGGAUCAGGUAGGGAUACCCGCUGAACUUAAGCAUAUCAAUAAGCGGAGGA
rnacentral:misc_RNA from 1 species